GCAACUCGAAUGGGAUGCUGGGAUAGCGGAGGACUUAGCGUCUUGCUCCAGGUGUCAUGGCGACCAACAUCGAGCAGAUUUUCCGUGAUUUCGUAAUGAAUAAAAUCAAAGAAAUUCAAGACGAAGAGCAGCACACCGGUGUGGAGAGCGAUGCCCAGCCAAAUGGAGGUGUGAUCCCUGAUUUGGAUAAGAAAAAUGCCAGCGAUGAGGCUCCAGGCAUCGAAGGAAACCAGGAAGAGCUGACCCAGACAACAGAGAGCGUUCAUACCGGAAUUGUUGAGGCACAAGAGAGCUCUCAGCCUGAUGCAGAAGCCAAUGUGAUUGCAGAGAGCUCGCAGGCUGGAGAAGAGAGUGGCAGCAAAGAAGGGAGCGAGACCCCCAGGAAGAAGAACAAAAAGCACAAGAGACACAAGAGCAAGAAGAAAAAGAAGAAACGGAAGGAGGAGAAGAGGUCCCGCUCCCGGUCGGGUAGCAGCUCGGAGUCUGGAGUGGAGUCUGACUCGGAACUGCGGUCACGCUCCAGUGUGAAGAGUGCAGAGGUGAUUCCUACUGUGAAGGAGACUGGGGCCAGUGAAGAGGCUCCCAUCGCGCACAGGGCACAGAAGGAGGGAGAGAUUGAACAAAAAAUGGAACAGGACUCAUCUGGGACUGUAGAGGAACAAGGGAACACACAGCCAGCUGGAGAAGAGAGUGGUGGUGAAACACACAGGAGCAAAGCCAAGAAGCAAAAAAAGCAUGCAAACAAGAAAAAGAAAAAGAAGAAAAAAAAGGAGCAGAAAGAAGAGAAGAGAUCACCGUCUCCCUCCAGAUCGGUGAGCACUUCAGGAUCUGGGACAGAUUCUGAAUCUGAAUUAAAAAAGUUUCCGUUGGAUUCUAUGUUAAACUCCUCAGACAGCCAGAUGGACAGGCCUGUUGCUGCAGUUGAUAAAGUGGUUGACACUUGUAAGUCGCUGGAGCCAAGACCUGAGAAGGAUUUAAGCCCUCCAACAGGGGUGGUAUCUGACACUAGUGUCAGUGAAAUGCAACUUCCAGCAGACAUUACAGAAGUUUCCACCUCAAAACAAAAUGGUUGUUCAGCAGGAGAGAUUAUCAUUGCUCCAAUUCAUGCAGAUAUUUUAGACUCUACUAACGGUAAGGACUCUGAAGAGUUUGUUGUGAAACCUGAGGAAAAGCAAAUUGAACUUGUUAAAGAGACUGAAACAAAGAAAGACAUGAGUAACCCGCCGACAGAUAAAAGAGAAAGCAGUGAAGUGAAAAAGACAAGAGAGAAUCUUUCAAGGUCUCGAUCCCUUUCAAGAUCCAACAAACGCAGCUCUAGACGGACCCCAUCUAAGAAGAGUCGCAGCCGGUCAAGGAGCCGGCAACGUGCUUUAGGAAAGUUUAGCUCAAGAAGGGGUCGUUCCUCAUCAAGGAGGCGAUCAAGGUCGACUUCCAAAAAGAAGCGAAGUCAUUCUUCACCCAAGCCUAAAAAAAGGCAUUCCAGAUCGAGCUCAGUCAAGCGUAGGUCGAGGUCCCGGUCUCGCCUAAAGUUAAGCCGUAAAUCGAGAUCAGUAUCCCUUAAAAGAUCUAAGCGCUCAAAGUCUAGAUCUCGCACAAGAAACAGAAGGUCUAGAUCUAGAUCAGCCAAGCGUAAGCGUUCAAAAUCUCGAUCCCAAUCACGAAACAAGCGCUCAAGGUCAAAAUCAAGAAGGUCUAGGUCACCAAGACGAAGAAAGCGAUCACGUUCUAGAUCCCAGCAUAGAACCAGACGGUCAAAAUCUAGAUCCCACUCAAGAACCAGACAGUCUAAAUCUAGGUCCAUCACAAGGAACAGGCAUUCAAGGUCUAGAUCACCCAGGCGAAUCAACCGAUCCCGUUCCAGAUGCAUAGUAAGAAACAGACGUUCGAAAUCUAGGUCACCCAGGAGAAACAGGAGGUCUAAAUCUAAGUCACCUUGGCGAAGCAGGCGCUCAAAAUCUAGAUCCCUCAAGAGGAGUAGGCGGUCAAAAUCUAGGUCCCCCAGGAGAAACAGACGGUCAAAAUCUAGGUCCCCCAGGAGAAACAGGCGGUCAAAAUCUGCAUCCCCCAGGAGAAACAGACGCUCAAAAUCUACAUCCCCCAAGAGAAACAGGCACUCAAAAUCUAGAUCCCCCAGGAGAAACAGGCACUCAAAAUCUAGAUCCCCCAGGAGAAACAGGCGCUCAAAAUCUAGAUCCCCCAGGAGAAACAGACGCUCAAAAUCUAGAUCUCCAGCAAGACACAGGAGGUCUAAAUCUCUUAGGAGGAAUAGAUCUAAAUCUAAAUCGCAGAGACGAAAUAAGCGAUCAAAAUCUAGAUCCCUAGGCAGACGUAGGAGGUCUAAAUCUAAAUCACCCAAACAAAAAAGACACUCAAAAUCUAAGUCUCCCAAAAGAAACAAGCAUUCAAAAUCCAAGUCUCCAAGAAACAAACUCUCCAAAUCUAGAUCCCCCUCAAAGGACGAGAGAUCCAAGUCUAGAUCGCCCUCAAAAGACAAGCGGUCCAAGUCUAGAUCGCCCUCAAAGGACGAGAGAUCCAAGUCUAGAUCGCCCUCAAAAGACAAGCGGUCCAAGUCUAGAUCGCCCUCAAAGGACGAGAGAUCCAAGUCUAGAUCGCCCUCAAAAGACAAGCGGUCCAAGUCUAGAUCGCCCUCAAAGGACGAGCGAUCCAAGUCUAGAUCGCCCUCAAAGGACGAGAGGUCCAAGUCUAGAUCGCCCUCAAAGGACGAGAGGUCCAAGUCUAGAUCGCCCUCAAAGGACGGGAGGUCCAAGUCUAGAUCGCCCUCAAAGGACGGGAGGUCCAAGUCUAGAUCGCCCUCAAAUGACGGGAGGUCCAAGUCUAGAUCGCCCUCAAAGGACGGGAGGUCCAAGUCUAGAUCGCCCUCAAAGGACGGGAGGUCCAAGUCUAGAUCGCCCUCAAAGGACGGGAGGUCCAAGUCUAGAUCGCCCUCAAAGGACGGGAGGUCCAAGUCUAGAUCGCCCUCAAAGGACGGGAGGUCCAAGUCUAGAUCCCCAGCAAGAAGCAAGCUCUCGGGAAGUAAAUCCCCAACCAAAGAGUUCACAAAGUCUAAAUCUGGAUCCCCUGCCAAAGACCAGUGCUCCAAAUCUAUAACCCCAUUAAAAGCAGGAACAUCUACUUCCCCCAAACCAGAAAGGACAUUAGGAUCAGUGUCUCCAACAACAGAUAUAUCUGCAGGACCUCUCUGUGCAAUGAUGGAAGAAGAUUCAAUGCCACAAUCUUUUGUGGCAGACAGACUUUCAAAGUCUGGAUCUCCCAUUAAAGGUGAUUGCUCAGAAUUAGAAUUGCCAGUGACCAAUUCACCAUCUCUUGUGAACAGAAAAUGCAUAGAAGAUUCAUCACCGAUUGAAGACACAAAGUCUAAUAUUAUGACAGGCCCUACUUGGGCAGCAUCAUCUCUUAUGACAGCAAACUUUUUAACAACUGAAAGCACCACAGUAGAUGAGCAUCCAGUAAAUUCAGCAUCUCCCUCAGUAGAUAGUAGUUACAAAACCAGUUCUUUGUUGAGAGAAAAGUCCCCACCAUCUGUGUCCUCAGAGAUUUCUGAAAGUGGGUCUCCAAAACCACAGCAGCGCUCAAGAUCACAAUCCCCAAUGACAGAAAAUGACUUAACUCCUAAAUCGCCUCCAUCUAUAGACAGAACUUUAACAUCCCCUUUGACUCUCACUUUUGACCUGAAACCUGAAUUUCCCAUGUCAGACAAGUGCUUUAAAUUUGAAUCAUCCCAGUCAGACAGUAACUCACAAUCCAAAUCUCCAGCAACACAGAGUCAUUCAGUAAAUGUUGAGUCCUCUAAAUCUAGGUCCCCUGCAUCAGAUCGGUGUUCAAAAUCUGAAUCCCCUACAAGGGAAGAUACUUCAGUAUCAACUCCUGCUGACAGACAAUCUGAGUCUAAACCAUCAGUGGCAGAUGUUUUUACAGGGUCUAGCACUCCCUGUAUAGAUCAACCUCAAAAUGCUUGCCCCCCUGCAGCAGAGAUGCCUUCAGGAUCUUUAUCCCCAACUCGAGACACUUGUUCACAAUCUCUAUAUCUGGCAGUGGAGGAUUGUCCGACAUCUCUGCCCGAGACAGACGGAUGUCCAAAAUCUCCCAUUACAGAAAAGCAUUCAAAAUCCCCAGGGCUAGAACAGAGCUCAAAAUCUAAAUCUCCCGCAGAAAGUGCAUGUACUAAACCUGAAGUACCUACAAAAAUGAAUCGUUCAAAAUCUCGGUCUCCUUUGCCGAACACUAAAUCCUCCACUAGAAACAAGAGUCCAAAAUCUAGAUCCCCCUCAGUAAAGAAACAUUUAAAAUCCUCCAAGCAGAAGCAGCGUUCCAAGUCUGGAUCUCCUACUAAAAAGUCAAAAUCUCCGUCAAGGAGGAAGAGAUCUAGAUCCCCGGUUAGAAAGAAGCGUUCCAAAUCUAGAUCUUCCAGUCAGAAGAAGAGGUCUAAAUCGAGGUCUCCUAUAAAACAAAAGCGAUCCAAAUCUAGAUCGCCUGCAAGAAAGAAGAGAUCAAAGUCUAGAUCCCCCAUAAGAAGAAAGAGGUCUAGGUCCGCAACAAGAAAGAAGCGAUCAAAAUCUAGAUCCCCUAAAAGGAAGCGAUCAAAAUCGAGAUCGCCUGUUAGAAAGAAGCGGUCAAAAUCCAGGUCCCGUGGAAGAAACAGACGUUCAAAAUCAAGAUCGCCUGCAAGAAGGAAACGGUCUAGAUCUAAAUCCCCUGCAAAGAAGCGCUCGAGAUCAAGAUCAGCCACUCGAGCGAGGCGCUCAAGGUCCAAGCACAGAUCAAGGACUCGCUCCGUCUCAAGACCCCGAAGGAAGUCACGCUCAGUGUCUCGAGGCAGGAGGUCUCGCUCUGCAGAAAGGAGGAGGAGAGCCAGGUACCGGAGCAGGUCCAUCGAGCGCUGGAGGAGGUCCAGGUCCUUCAACAGGAGGAGGGUCUCCAGGUCUCCGGUGCUGCUGCUGAGGAGGAGAAGAUCAAUAUCCAGGACCCGGAGGAGCCCCAGCAAGACCCCUCCACGCCUCACAGAGCUGGAUAAGGCCCAGCUGCUAGAGAUAGCGAAAGCUAACGCUGCUGCCAUGUGUGCCAAGGCUGGUGUGCCCAUACCCCAGAGCCUGAAACCUACUGUCAUACUGCAGCUGCCGCUACCACUGCCAAUCCCCCCGCCUGUUGAGGAGAAGAAGAAGGUGGUCCAGAAAGUGACCAACAGCACCAUUCUGGAGCUCACAGAGAAGUGCAAGCAGAUCGCAGAGAGCAAGGAGGAUGAGAAUGAGGUGUUGAACAAGCCGCACGUGUCUGAUGAUGAAGAGGAGGAUCAGCCCUUCGGAGGCCAGGGUGCCAGACUGGGAGAGCUCAAGGGCAUUUCCUUCAGUCUCAGUAACCCGUCAGUGAAGCCGGCUGCCAGGACGGAGGUGGCACUGACCAAGGACUUCCCAGUGUCUUCGGGCUCGCAGCACAGGAAGAAGGAGGGAGAUGGUGCCUAUGGGGAGUGGGUUCUUGUCGACAAGGGGGCCGAGAAGGAAAGCAAGGACGACGUCUUCACAGACACACCUGUGCAGCCUGUGGACAUCACGCUGGCAAUGAACGAGAGAGCCGUGGCACAGAAGAAGCUGGCAGAAAACCCCUUCGAUGUCAACGCCAUUUGUAUGCUGAGUCGAGCACAGGAGCAGGUGGACGCGUGGGCCCAGUCCAGCAACCUGCCGGGCCGCUUCACAGGUAGCACCGGUGCCCAGGUCCUGUCUGCAGAAGAGCUCUCCUCCAGCGGACCCCAGGCCUGGAUACGAAAGGUAAUCCUCCGCUCCACAGCCAGCCAGGCUUCAUAAGACCUUUUGAUCAGUAACCCCCCACCUGCAACUCGCAGGGCACCUCCAGUGGUUGGCACAGCCCAUAGGCAUUUGGAACAGAUCUGCAGAUGCUCAGUAAAGAACAGGGCACACAUCUUGAAAACAGCAGGGAAGCACAGCUUGAUGACACAGGCAGUACACACACUGCUUGCCAUGCCAUGCAAUAACUACAUAAUCGUCUCACGAAUUUAGUGUUGGUGCAGUGAAAUAAUAAUAAUCUUUAUAUUGCCUUGUGUGAAACGCAUCCUGUUUAAAACAGGUUGCUUGUGCACACUAACAUUACUAAGUUGGAAAUGGCAAGCUUUAUUAUAAAACCUGGCUUUGUAUAGAAGAGUACUGGGAGUGUGAAAUUUGUGUUUUUACUCUCCUUUUAAAUCUGGGUUAAUAUCUCUUGAUUUGAAAUGGGAUUUUGUGAAAUGAAUUGGGGUGAGAAAGUAAGAGGGGUGGUGAAGGGGAUAAAUCCUUCUGUCCAAAUAAUCUGUUACAAUACCUGCAUCUCACUGUGUGUUUUAAUUACAAAAUCAAUUUGUGAUCAGCAGCACACAUUAGAUUUGAGAAUAGAAACCUCUUAGUUUUCCUGUCUCAGUUGAGUACUCCACAGCUGUACUUCAGAAACAUUCACUUCACAAGUUAGUUUGUUCUGUUUUUACGUUGGGCCUCUGCUCAGCAGCAUGCUGAAUGUUACCUGAACCCAGCUCCUGUUCAGUGGUGUUUAACCCUGUCUUGAGAGCGUAAGGAUCUCCUGAUGUCUGUUUCAGAUAUUUUCAUUGAUGUAAACACUUCACUAAUCUCUGGAUCUACUUCAGUUUAUUUAAAAAAAAAAAAAAAAAAAAGUACAUUUAAGUUUGGUUUUCAUGAAAGAAGAGCAGAACUCUAGAACUUUGGUCAAAUAUUGCACUUAGGUUGUUGCCAAGUGCAUUGAGAUUCUAUCAAUGGAAUCAAUUGCAUGCCCCUUGUAAGCCUUCAGCAUAUUACAGUUCAGUUCCUGUUUAGAAGCUGAGCUGCUAACAGCCAAGUUUAAAUAUUUCCCUUGGUUCUUUACGAAUAAUUGGAAGCAAACCACACUAUUACUUAUUUGACUCAUCAGUUUAGAACUGAUUUGAAGGGCCCAACUGAAACAGCUAUAAUCUUUUUAAAGCUUUAACCACAGUGAUUAGACAUUCAUGUGGGUGGCAUUCAUGUGCCACUUGAUUCCAUUUUAAAGAUGCGUCUGUGGUUUCAUGAAGACCAACAUUUCUGAUCUCCCAGAGAUGUUUUAAUUUGUGAACUGGCUACACCACUGAAGAUAAUAAAACAGAUGUUGAUGUUGAAAUUCUAUCAAAGCAGGUACAAAACAGGAUGGGAACCCCUGGGCCCCUGUGACUGGGGGUUUCUAUCAGGCUCUGCAUGGUGGCCUCUUUGGUAUAAAGAGGUUCCUUGGGAAAGAGAGGGGAGGAGGAAAACUGGAAGUAAGUACCCCCGUAGCACCGCCCACUGCCAGCUGUACUGACUGAGGCUACCGCAGCUGCUGUGAAGAUGACGGGGUUCCUAGCAGAGCGCCAAACUGGGCAAGAGGUGGACCCGACCUGAACUGAAAAGGCAUCCUGUGUUUCCAUGAGCUCUGAUCCUCCUAGUAUUCCCUCCCCCCAAAACAAAGAUCAUCCAGGCUUUUUGAAAUGCUUAAGAGAGUGAUUUAUAUGCACACCUUGUAUUGUGCACUCAGCUUUGCACCGGUAACAUGAAGACCUUAAAAUCUAACAGACAUGCACUAUAAACAGCUUCACUACGUGCGGUUUAUGGAGUUUUCAAUUAAAUGUGGGUUGUCCGCGUGUAUGACUAUAAAGAAGAGACGCCUGGCUACCUGGUAAUUUUAGCAGUGGUUUCUAGUAAAGGGGGCGUGUGUCUGUUUGGGGUGGGUUGAGUAGAGGAGAGAGGUGAACGCUCACAGACUGACCUGUGAACUUUCACCCCUCUGUAUGGAAACUUGUUGCAGGGUCAAUCCUUGUAGCUGCCUUGUUGCCAUGGUCACUGUCAGGCCCUUCUAAUCACAACAGACCACGGCCAUUGAGGCCUAGGACCAGUUCCUGCGGGCGGCCCCAGUGGCUGGAGGGGUGGGCGAGUUCCUCAUGAGAAAGAUGGGCUGGCGAGAGGGGGAAGGUCUCGGCAAGUACAGGGAGGGGAACACAGAGCCCAUCCUGAUAGACUUCAAAACCG